rnacentral:rRNA from 1 species
AGCUCCAAUAGCGUAUAUUUAAGUUGUUGCAGUUAAAAAGCUCGUAGUUGGAUUUCGGAUGUGAACGACCGGUCCGCCGUUGCGGUGUGCACUGGACGUUUGUAUCUUGUUGUCGGGGACGCGCACCUUGCCUUAAGUGGUCGGGACGCGGAGUCGGCGCUGUUACUUUGAAAAAAUUAGAGUGUUCAAAGCAGGCAACCGCUCUGAAUACAUUAGCAUGGAAUAACGCUAUAGGACUCUGGUCUUAUUGUGUUGGUCUUCGAGACCGGAGUAAUGAUUAAGAGGGACAGUUGGGGGCAUUCGUAUUUCAUUGUCAGAGGUGAAAUUCUUGGAUUUAUGAAAGACGAACUUCUGCGAAAGCAUUUGCCAAGGAUGUUUUCA